rnacentral:rRNA from 1 species
AUUGAACGCUGGCGGCAGGCCUAACACAUGCAAGUCGAGCGAGCGGCGGACGGGUGAGUAAUGUGUGGGGACUGCCCCUUAGGGGGGGGUAAAUACUGGAAAACGGAGCUCAUACCCCAUACUAUAGGAUAGCGCAUAUGGGAUGGUCUCGUAGGUGAGGUAAUGGCGCACCUAGGAGACGCUCGCUAGCUGGUCUGAGAGGAUGAGCAGCCACACGGGGACCAAGACACGGCCCAGACGCCGACGGAGGAAGCAGUGGGUAAGAUGGCACAAUGGGCGCAAGCCUGAUGCAGCCAUGCCGCGUGUAUGAAGAAGGCCCUAGGGUUGUAAAGUACUUUCAGGCGGGAGGCGUUACCGACAGAAGAAGCACCGGCUAACUCCGUGCCAGCCGCCGCGGUAAUUC